rnacentral:tRNA from 1 species
GGGGUUGUAGUUUAACUGGAAGAACGCUUGGUUUGCAACCAAGAGGCUGCAGGUUCAAGUCCUGCCAACUCCACCA